rnacentral:rRNA from 1 species
GACGUAGGUUGCGAGCGUUAUCCGGAAUUAUUGGGCGUAAAGCGUCAGUAGGUGGUUUGUUAAGUUGGAUGUUAAAGCUCAGAGCUCAACUCUGAACAUGUGUCCAAAACUGGCAAGCUAGAGACAGGUAGAGGCAAGUGGAAUUCUGUAUGUAGGGGUAAUAUCCGUAGAUAUACAGAGGAACACCAAAAGCGAAGGCAGCUUGCUGGACCUGUUCUGACACUCAAUGACGAAAGCGUGGGGAGCAAACGGG